AUGGUGAAUUCAAGUUCUUCUGAGGUCGUCAUCGAACUUGGUCAAAAAAACACGGCGUGGGUAGACGUUCACUCGACGGUCUUUGGCAACGGUCGUCGUACAUGGUUCGUAGAUGUUUGGGUCUUCCGUAGAGGUACUCGACGCACUCUGCAACUUGGCGUCCUCAACGUCCUGGUACUUGGCGUUCGGUGCGGUACUCGUCGAGCAAGAGGCAAAGUCAUGUUACUUGGCAUAUCCAAAGGGUACUUGGUCUUUGGUCAUAGGUACUUGACGGUCAUCAAUGUUGCAUCUGUGUACAUCGGAGCGGGGACUUGGCGAAAAACCCCAAAGGCGACGAGGCAAGGCGACGAAGGGAGCCUGCGACGGAGGAGAGGGAGACGAGCGCUGGGAGAUGGGCGGCUCUGGCCGGUCGUCCGGGUCGCGGAGGACGGUGGGGAGGCGUCGCAGGCCUGCUGGUCAGGAGCUCGAGGUGAUCGGGUUGGAGAAGGAGGGCAAGGUAGGGAGGACGAGGGAGAGAGGGAAAGAGGUGGCGGCGCUAUGGACCAGGGAGGACGACGGCUGCGGGCGCGGGGCCUCGCUCCUCCCCCUGGCGAUGCAAGGAAGAAGGAGGGGAUCGAGGGAGGGGCGCUGCGAGCGAGAGAGGUGGGGAUCGAGCAUGGUGGCGGCGCUGGGACUGGGAGAAAGAGGCUGCGAGGGAGAGAUGAGUGA
rnacentral:rRNA from 1 species